rnacentral:rRNA from 1 species
AACGAACGCUGGCGGCAUGCCUAACACAUGCAAGUCGAACGAGAUCUUCAGGUCUAGUGGCGCACGGGUGCGUAUCGCGUGGGAAUCUGCCCUUUGGUUCGGAAUAACAGUUGGAAACGACUGCUAAUACCGGAUGAUGACGAAAGUCCAAAGAUUUAUCGCCAGAGGAUGAGCCCGCGUAGGAUUAGCUAGUUGGUGUGGUAAAGGCGCACCAAGGCGACGAUCCUUAGCUGGUCUGAGAGGAUGAUCAGCCACACUGGGGCUGAGACACGGCCCAGACUCCUGCGGGAGGCAGCAGUGGGGAAUAUUGGACAAUGGGCGAAAGCCUGAUCCAGCAAUGCCGCGUGAGUGAUGAAGGCCUUAGGGUUGUAAAGCUCUUUUACCCGGGAUGAUAAUGACAGUACCGGGAGAAUAAGCUCCGGCUAACUCCGUGCCAGCAGCCGCCGUAA